rnacentral:rRNA from 1 species
AUUGAACGCUGGCGGCAGGCCUAAUACAUGCAAGUCGAGCGGAGCGGCGGACGGGUGAGUAAUGCCUAGGAAUCUGCCCGGUAGUGGGGGAUCACGUCCGGAAACGGGCGCUAAUACCGCAUACUAUCAGAUGAGCCUAGGUCGGCUUUGCUAGUGGGGGGGGUAAAGGCCUACCAAGGCGACGAUCCGUAACUGGUCCGAGAGGAGGAUCAGUCACACUGGAACUGAGACACGGUCCAGACUCCUACGGGAGGCAGCAGUGGGGAAUAUUGGACAAUGGGCGAAAGCCUGAUCCAGCCAUGCCGCGUGUGUGAAGAAGGUCUUCGGAUUGUAAAGCACUGUAAGUUGGGAGGCGUUACCCGCAGAAGAAGCACCGGCUAACUCCGUGCCAGCAGCCGCGGUAAUAC